GGUCCAACAUGGGCACACAUGCAGCGAUAGAGGACGGAUCUAAACGCUGUGUCCAGCUGUGUGUCCGCAGCUCUCCCCGAGCCGCGAGCUACCGCAGCUCUCUGAGAGACAGCUGUCCGUGCUGGAGGCGAGCUUCCUUGUGAACCGCAACCCGCGCCACAGCGACCUGCUGCUGCUCGGCGCCGAGCUGGAGAUGGACCAGCCGCAGAUCAAGCGCUGGUUCUGUCACCGCCUGGCCUGCUGGAGACAAGAGCAGGGUCUGCAGCCCAACGGACGCCGUGUGGACAUGAUAACGGACGGCGAUCGGGACUCGAAGAGGCUAAACAGAGGUGUCAGUGUUGAGGUAGCGCAACGUGACAUAAAGAAACGCCACUGAUGUUACCUGACAGCAGAGCGGCGGGUGACACUGCUCUCAGACGCGGUUACGAGACGGUACAAAAAUAAUUGAAGAAAAGGUGCGUGCAGAUUGGAAGGACAGAUCAUGCAACGCCCGAAUUGUGGGGACUGAAUGAAGCGAGUAGCGACACAGGUGUGUUGAGUGUUGGCAGUUGCCACACGUGCGUUACGAUGUGGUGCGAGAAGUACCGUAGUGUAUAAACAGUAAGCACAGUAUAGAGAAGCCAUAGAAGUAAGGCUUUGGGGGAGCGGUGUUCAAAGUGACCAUUGCAUGAUGUUUUUUUUCAUGCGGUGGCAGUAAUGUGGUAGACACCGCAGGCUCUGUGUGCACCUUGUUGCAGACGUGAGACGCACAGCGUAUGGGACACGUAUGUUUCACUGUCAUGAGUGAUAAGUAAACAACUGGCGCAGGACUAUAUGAACUACACAUAAUUUCCUGAUAAAUUCUAUCGAUCAUUUU
rnacentral:misc_RNA from 1 species